AGAGUUUGAUCCUGGCUCAGGAUGAACGCUAGCGACAGGCUUAACACAUGCAAGUCGAGGGGCAGCGAGGGCGUAGCAAUACGCCUGUCGGCGACCGGCGCACUGGUGAGUAACACGUAUGCGACCUGCCCCCUACAGGGGUAUAACCCGUAGAAAUGCGGACUAAUCCCCCAUAGUCCUGGGUGCUGCAUGGCAUUCAGGGGAAAGGUCAGCCGGUAGGGGAUGGGCAUGCGGCGCAUUAGCUAGUUGGCGGGGCAACGGCCCACCAAGGCGACGAUGCGUAGGGGUUCUGAGAGGAAGGUCCCCCACACUGGUACUGAGACACGGACCAGACUCCUACGGGAGGCAGCAGUGAGGAAUAUUGGUCAAUGGGCGCAGGCCUGAACCAGCCAAGUCGCGUGAGGGAAGACGGUCCUGCGGAUUGUAAACCUCUUUUGUCGGGGAGUAACGUGCGGGACGCGUCCCGUAUUGAGAGUACCCGAAGAAAAAGCAUCGGCUAACUCCGUGCCAGCAGCCGCGGUAAUACGGAGGAUGCGAGCGUUAUCCGGAUUUAUUGGGUUUAAAGGGUGCGUAGGUCGCCGAUUAAGUCAGCGGUGAAAUCCCGUGGCUCAACCAUUGGACUGCCGUUGAAACUGGCCGGCUUGAGUAUGAUUGAGGCAGGCGGAAUGCGUGGUGUAGCGGUGAAAUGCAUAGAUAUCACGCAGAACCCCGAUCGCGAAGGCAGCCUGCCAGGCCGUGACUGACACUGAUGCACGAAAGCGUGGGUAUCGAACAGGAUUAGAUACCCUGGUAGUCCACGCAGUAAACGAUGAUCACUAGCUGUUUGCGAUAUAGUGUAAGCGGCACAGCGAAAGCGUUAAGUGAUCCACCUGGGGAGUAGCCCGCAGACGGGUCACGGCCUGCAUCUUGAUGCGCUCCGAUUCGGUGGUGCGGCGCAUCAGUCGCGCACCGUUGAUAUAGGCCAGGUCGGUCACUCCGCCCGCCUUGCGCAGCACGUCGCUCAGUCGCUCGUUCUUGUGCGACAGGGUGUAGGUGCCGGCAAACAUCACCUCGCCUUCGAUGGUCACGUUCUGUGGAGUGGCAUAGCCAGGACUGCGGCGUACAUAGAUUUCGUCGUAGGGCAUGAGAUGGAAUCCGGCCUGUCCGUCGAUGACGAACCCGUCGCGCAGUGCCAGACUGUAGGUGCG
rnacentral:rRNA from 1 species